UCAUAAUCGGGNACUUGACGAAGUUGCGCUAAUACCGAAUAAGACCACGUCUCUUAUGUGAUGUGGCCAAAGGAGUCUCAAACUCCGUUUAUAGAUGAGUUCGCGGACCAUUAGCUUGUUGGCGGGAUGAUAGCCCACCAAGGCUACGAUGGUUAGCCGGCCUGAGAGG
rnacentral:rRNA from 1 species